GAAAAAGAACGUCCCAGGUCUGUUGAAGCACUAAGAAAAGCAGAAAAAGAAAGGGGAGCCAGGGAAGGGCUGGCAGGCUGUGCAAUUUAAGGGAGCACCAGAAAAACUGGCAAUCAAAUAAUAUAUUAAUGUAAUAUUUUAAAAAGUAAAAAUUAAUGCAGGAAAUCCGGGAGGAACAAAAUAAGAGUCAUGUGUACCUUAACAACAGGGUAAGGUCUGAGGAUUGCGUCAUUAGGCGAUUUUGUUGCUGUACGAACACCACAGAAUGUACUUUGACGACCUAGAUGGUGGAGCCUGGACACACCUCGGCUCUGUGGUGUGGCCUGCUGCUUCCAGGCUGCAAACCUGACAGCAUGGGGCUGUACUGAAUACCGCAGACCAUUGUAAUUCAUGGGGAAAGCGCGAAUGCAGUCCCCCACUACAACAAAUUAUGCAGUCGAGUUUUCCACAUUUGGGAAUAUCACAGGGGUCAGCACAUCCGGAGUGCAAUCGAUGAGCCCCACGCUGGGAAAAACCACCUUCGUGAUCAUGGUAUCUUCCCUGCCAGAGAGAAACCAAUCAGCUUCAUUUUCAACUUCUUCUAUGACUCCAGAGGAUUCACUUUGCAUCUUGUGACAAAUGAAUAUAUUACCUGAAAAAAAAAUGACAGGAUAGAUGAGUUGCUGCACAGGGGGAAAGCGAAGUUCCCAGGAGUAAGAUGUGCAAGAAGCGGGCAGCCUUGCAUCUCAGGGCUGAGUUCCCUCAACUGUGUGCUUGAGGGAAGUUCUCCCCUUGCAGACACACUGCUGAGUGAUAAGGAAGCACCUAGACUCCACUCUGACCAGACUUGGUUCUGAGGCCUAUGAAAUGUUGAUGGGAAGAACAGAAGCAGGAAAAUCUAUCUAUUCAAAUUUGCAAGACGUGGAAACUUUUAUUCACCUUCCUGGUUAGACUGUUCCUUUGUCAAAGUAAAGCUAAGGCCAUGGAAAAUGAGCUAUUUGAGAGUUUGUCGCUCCAAGGAAGAACAUGCUGGCCUAAUUGUCCCCCAAGUCAGGAGAGAGAAUUGUAAAAAACACUUAAACAGGCCUAAGUAAAGGUCCAGCACAUUAUUUAUUUAAGACUGAAUUAGAACUGAGUCAUUCCGACUCUGAAAAAAGAGUGUUGUUGGAUUCUUAUGUAUUUAAUGGGUCUGCCCUAUUGAAAACCAUUGUGAAGUAUGGUUUCCCAAGCAAGAAAUGACACUUUCACUGUCAGUCUUUCUAGGAGUCUGGCAGAAUCCAGGACCGGGAUUACCCUUAUUUAUGAAGCGACCUUAGACUAACAGUGGCUCUCUGGGUCUCCAGACAAUUGGCCAGGGACUCUAAAAACCAGAAACAAAGUUGAGAGAACUCCAUGCUGGUGGAGAAAAACAGCUGGCCUUUAUCACCAGAAUGUGCCCCAUAGAAGCAGCAAAGCAGCAAGCGACGUUCUUAAACAAGGGCCUGUGGGCCUCGUCAAGAUCUGGAGGAAUCAUCUACGACUCACUGCUGAGUGAGAGGGCUAGGCAGUGUCUUUAAGGUCCUGCCAGCUUUAACAUUGUAUGCUUUUUCUUUUGUUCAAUCUCUCACCACAACUGGAAGUGUUGCCUCAACUACACAGGAGAAAGUUUGCAGUAACUUAGAGAAAACAUUAUUUUAAUCACCAGUGUAUGUUCUCCUGCUCCCUGGACAAAUCCAUCAGCAGCGGCAACACUGACCAGGUCCAGAUUGGGGCCGCUGCGGUGGAUGUGAAUCCAUUGAAACUAGGGGUCUCCAGUGCUCCUGACUCCUCACAGCUCUGUUCCUAUGACAAGGAUGGUCAGCAAAGCCAGCAACCUUGAAGGGGGACCUUCUUCUAAUCUCCUCCCUGCCUGCUGAGAGAGUGUACAGAAGCAGCCACUUGUCAGCUGCGAUGAAUCCAAUGAUAAUUACAUAAAUCAUUAACAAUACUUGAUAUUUGCCCAUCACAUUUCUCAUUUCAAAGUGCUCAUAAAAUUGUAUCUCAUGGGUGGCACUGCCGGCACAACAGAAUUCCAAGGAAGGAUUACGGGCUAAGUAAAUAAAGCCUGGAGGCUGCUUUAAAGCCUAGGAGUCUGUUAUUAACCCUUUCCUCCUUUUUGUUUAACUUUUUCUCAUGGAAAUGUUCAAACAUACCAAAAAUAGAGAAAAUACUAUAAUGAGUCCUUAUGUAUCCAUAACCUAGCUUCAAAAAUUAUGUAUGGCUUUACAGUCUUGUUUAGUUCAUAACUGCAACUUCAUUGAGGGUGAGUGCUGGGGUAUUGUGAAGCAAAU
rnacentral:lncRNA from 1 species